rnacentral:lncRNA from 1 species
GGUUUUCAAUUUUUGAAUUAGGGUUUCAAAUUCCCAGAACCGAAAUUAGGGUUUCAAAAUCGAUUUCUAGGGUUUCUUAUCCAUUUAUAGGGUUUUCUAACUGAACGUUGACGCUCUUAAUAUAUACCUAGGCUUUGACACUGAUAAAAUUUAUCUGGUCAACCCUUGACCCUUAACCACAUUCUGAACACAUAAAUGACCAUAUACACAGAACAUAUUCACGUAUACACUUAAUCCUG